AGCGUGUAACCCGUAGCAGCUCGGGCACAUUGCCCCCUUUUUUUGUUGCAUGCGCUACGGGGACACGGCCAGCAUUGAAUGGACGGCGUCACGAGAGGGCACACGGCCAGAGAAAUAAAUGAAGGCGCUGGGCACGAAAAAAAAAAGACGCUAAAAACAGAGAGGGAGAGGAUACAAAUUUGGCGGGAAAAAGAGUCGAGAUGACAUAUAGACAGCAAGUCCUCGCAUCUACGGGUUAGAUGCUUUCCCGAAAAGCGCCGCGUCAGGGCAAAAAACGCGUUCAAGCCGAGACAUUUUCCUCAGAAACAAUGCAGAUGAUCAAACUUGGGCGAGACACGAUGUACCGCUACUACGCACGCGCAGCGAGAUGGAGGGAACAAAUAACUUAAGUGUGUCUACAAACGUGUCAUCCACGGGGAAAGUUGGAGCAAAGUAAAGCUAGCGUCAGCGACCUUCAGCAUCUCAUGGACAGAAAGCAAAUUUGAAGCAACAACAGCGGAUAAGUUGUGACACACCAACGAUCCGGGACAAGGCUGUGCUGGUGACGGGAUGCGACUCCGGCUUUGGACUGUCACUCGCGCAGCACCUGCACUCGAAGGGCUUCAAAAUCUUCGCCGGAUGCCUCCUGAAGAUGCUCAUCAUCUUUGGUGUGGUACGACUGAGAAGCGGGUUUGGAAUCGCGAUGUGACAUGUGUGGAGGCGUCGGUUUGCACUGCUGUCAGUUUUGCAAGGAAGGCUGAUGGAACCGCCUCGAUUUCACGUCGACAACAACACAAACAAAGACAGAUGUCCCCCGUAUAGCCUACACAACAUUUUUGGGCAAGUGCAGUUAGCGAGCACCUAAUGAAGGCAGGCACUUUGGUACACGAGGGAGUGGGUGGCCAG